rnacentral:ncRNA from 2 species
GCGUCAUCCGCGGGAGCCCCGGAAGCAGGGGCUGAGAUGCCGGUAAGGCCCGGCGAACCGUAGAACCUGAUCCGGUUAGCACCGGCGCGAGGAAAGGAUUCCGUCCGUCAU